UGGAAGUAGAUACACAAACUAUACAAAGAUGGUACAGUUUGUCACAAACACUUCCUACAGUAAAACACCUUCUGAUGACCGCAGGUUCUCAAGCUUUUCCUACGGACAGAUACGGGGUGGACAAUA